rnacentral:rRNA from 2 species
AUUGAUUGAUGGUGCUUGCACCUGAUUGAUUUUGGUCGCCAACGAGUGGCGGACGGGUGAGUAACACGUAGGUAACCUGCCCAGAAGCGGGGGACAACAUUUGGAAACAGAUGCUAAUACCGCAUAACAACGUUGUUCGCAUGAACAACGCUUAAAAGAUGGCUUCUCGCUAUCACUUCUGGAUGGACCUGCGGUGCAUUAGCUUGUUGGUGGGGUAACGGCCUACCAAGGCGAUGAUGCAUAGCCGAGUUGAGAGACUGAUCGGCCACAAUGGGACUGAGACACGGCCCAUACUCCUACGGGAGGCAGCAGUAGGGAAUCUUCCACAAUGGGCGCAAGCCUGAUGGAGCAACACCGCGUGAGUGAAGAAGGGUUUCGGCUCGUAAAGCUCUGUUGUUAAAGAAGAACACGUAUGAGAGUAACUGUUCAUACGUUGACGGUAUUUAACCAGAAAGUCACGGCUAACUACGUGCCAGCAGCCGCGGUAAUACGUAGGUGGCAAGCGUUAUCCGGAUUUAUUGGGCGUAAAGAGAGUGCAGGCGGUUUUCUAAGUCUGAUGUGAAAGCCUUCGGCUUAACCGGAGAAGUGCAUCGGAAACUGGAUAACUUGAGUGCAGAAGAGGGUAGUGGAACUCCAUGUGUAGCGGUGGAAUGCGUAGAUAUAUGGAAGAACACCAGUGGCGAAGGCGGCUACCUGGUCUGCAACUGACGCUGAGACUCGAAAGCAUGGGUAGCGAACAGGAUUAGAUACCCUGGUAGUCCAUGCCGUAAACGAUGAGUGCUAGGUGUUGGAGGGUUUCCGCCCUUCAGUGCCGGAGCUAACGCAUUAAGCACUCCGCCUGGGGAGUACGACCGCAAGGUUGAAACUCAAAGGAAUUGACGGGGGCCCGCACAAGCGGUGGAGCAUGUGGUUUAAUUCGAAGCUACGCGAAGAAC